GUGUUUAUUCAAAAUCAAUUUCAGUCCUCCUAUGCAAUCCACCGCACCGUACCCACCGCAUAUUAAAAAGUUUUAGUUGUGUUAAUCCACCGCACCGUACCCACCGCCUAUGAAACGCAUCAUACCCACAGCUUAGAGAAACACGAGAAACCCACCGCACCACACUGCAUACAAAUCCACCACGUAGAGAAACUCAUUCCUCCGUCACUUCUUAAGAUCGUUCCUCCGUCACCUUUUAGAUCGCAUCGCACCAGUGACUUGCUCAAGUCAAGGAAUGUUUUGAAUGAGCAUGCAACUGAUAAUACAAAGGAGAUUGAUUCUACAGUUAAUGAGACGGUGAUGUGAUUUCUGUAAUGAAAGGCGGGCAGACUAAGGUUUCCAAAGCCUAAUAAGUACUGGGUUGAAAAUUCUCUGAAGAGGCAUUGAAUUGUUAUGUAAGUUACCUACUUGUUAUAUACAAGUAUGUGCCUAAGGAUAAUGGAUCACGGAUGUCCCUCCUUCAUACCACUUCUCUUUUAAACGUGUUUUUGCCUAAGGAUUCUGUCCGACAGACAAACAUACGCACAUCACAACAUUCACAAAUCAUACACGACAGGGCUCCUUUGCCAACUGACGGGUGUACAGUCGACUGUGCAAUGACUCUCCUUUGCGAG